ACGUAGUAGGCCAGCGGGGGCAGGACCAGC
rnacentral:antisense_RNA from 1 species